rnacentral:rRNA from 1 species
UACGAAGGGGGCUAGCGUUGCUCGGAAUUACUGGGCGUAAAGGGCGCGUAGGCGGACAGUUAAGUCAGAGGUGAAAGCCCAGGGCUCAACCCCGGGAGGCGGGUGGAUACUGGUCAGCUCGAGUCCGGAAGAGGAGUGUGGAAUUCCUGGUGUAGCGGUGAAAUGCGCAGAUAUCAGGAGGAACACCAAUGGCGAAGGCAGCACUCUGGGACGGUACUGACGCUGAGACGCGAAAGCGUGGGGAGCAAACAGG